AAGUACCCGGCCACGUUCACUUGUGUUUUUGUCGAUCUGAUGAGUUAAGCCUUUUUCAACUGAUUUUUAUAGUUGGUUCUUAUGUUGUACUGUUAUACCACUGUCCAAGGUUAGGGGAGGGUUGGGAUCCCGCUAACAUGUUUAACCCCGCCACAUUAUGUAUGUAUGUGCCUUUCCCAAGUCAGGAGCCUGUAAUUCAGUGGUUGUCGUUUAUUUAUGUGUUACAUAUUUGUUUUUCGUUCAUUUUUUUUUAUAUAUAAAUAAGACCGCUAGUUUUCUCGUUUGAAUUGUUUUACAUUGUCUUAUCGGGGCCUUU
rnacentral:lncRNA from 1 species